rnacentral:rRNA from 1 species
GACCCUUCGGGGUUAGUGGCGAACGGGUGAGUAACACGUGGGUGAUCUGCCCUGCACUUUGGGAUAAGCCUGGGAAACUGGGUCUAAUACCGGAUAGGACUACGCACUUCAUGGUGUGUGGUGGAAAGCUUUUGCGGUGUGGGAUGGGCCCGCGGCCUAUCAGCUUGUUGGUGGGGUGAUGGCCUACCAAGGCGACGACGGGUAGCCGGCCUGAGAGGGUGACCGGCCACACUGGGACUGAGAUACGGCCCAGACUCCUACGGGAGGCAGCAGUGGGGAAUAUUGCACAAUGGGCGCAAGCCUGAUGCAGCGACGCCGCGUGAGGGAUGACGGCCUUCGGGUUGUAAACCUCUUUCGCCAGGGACGAAGCGCAAGUGACGGUACCUGGAGAAGAAGGACCGGCCAACUACGUGCCAGCAGCCGCGGUAAUACGUAGGGUCCGAGCGUUGUCCGGAAUUACUGGGCGUAAAGAGCUCGUAGGUGGUUUGUCGCGUUGUUCGUGAAAACUCACAGCUUAACUGUGGGCGUGCGGGCGAUACGGGCAGACUGGAGUACUGCAGGGGAGACUGGAAUUCCUGGUGUAGCGGUGGAAUGCGCAGAUAUCAGGAGGAACACCGGUGGCGAAGGCGGGUCUCUGGGCAGUAACUGACGCUGAGGAGCGAAAGCGUGGGGAGCGAACAGGAUUAGAUACCCUGGUAGUCCACGCCGUAAACGGUGGGUACUAGGUGUGGGUUUCCUUCCUUGGGAUCCGUGCCGUAGCUAACGCAUUAAGUACCCCGCCUGGGGAGUACGGCCGCAAGGCUAAAACUCAAAGGAAUUGACGGGGGCCCGCACAAGCGGCGGAGCAUGUGGAUUAAUUCGAUGCAACGCGAAGAACCUUACCUGGGUUUGACAUGCACAGGACGCCGGCAGAGAUGUCGGUUCCCUUGUGGCCUGUGUGCAGGUGGUGCAUGGCUGUCGUCAGCUCGUGUCGUGAGAUGUUGGGUUAAGUCCCGCAACGAGCGCAACCCUUGUCUCAUGUUGCCAGCACGUUAUGGUGGGGACUCGUGAGAGACUGCCGGGGUCAACUCGGAGGAAGGUGGGGAUGACGUCAAGUCAUCAUGCCCCUUAUGUCCAGGGCUUCACACAUGCUACAAUGGCCGGUACAAAGGGCUGCGAUGCCGUGAGGUGGAGCGAAUCCUUUCAAAGCCGGUCUCAGUUCGGAUCGGGGUCUGCAACUCGACCCCGUGAAGUCGGAGUCGCUAGUAAUCGCAGAUCAGCAACGCUGCGGUGAAUACGUUCCCGGGCCUUGUACACACCGCCCGUCACGUCAUGAAAGUCGGUAACACCCGAAGCCGG